UCACACUCCAUCGAGAGCUACACCAUGCCGUGCCCCCACAGAAACCGCCGGCGAGGACAUUCCUUCACCCCGGUCCGCCGCACACUGCCUCAUCCCACGCUAGUGACCAGGCGCCACCCUCGUCCGCCGUAGCCAGCCUCAGCUCCACGCCGUCGUGCUCCCCCACCUCUCCGUGACGAUUAAUUUUUGUUCGGCAUUGUUGAGGAAAUUUUCGA